CCUGCUUCCCAGCGAGCCCAGGAGGGGAGAGGCCCAGGAGCAGGAGCCCAGAGUCUGCCGGCAAGGAGAAACACGGGUUGCCUGAGAGAUACCAGAGAAAGGAGCAGCCCGGUUCCGUGUAGCUCCCCCCCUCCCCCGCCAGCUGACUUCAGAAGACACAACAGGCCAUCCUGUCCUUGCCCUUUUCAUUUCCACACUAGCUCCGCAUUUGCAGGAGGGGCUGAGAACCCUUACAAAACCUCUCCGCAUUCUUCUUCCGUUGCAUAGCUUCCAUCAGGGAGUGUUUGCACAUAUUUGACCUGAGCGCAGCAAAUGCUUUUUGUUUAGAAAGCCAUUCCGUAGCAAUUAAUGCAUAAGAUACACACAACUGCUUGCCCAGAGUUCAUCCGAUACUUGGCAGUUCUCCUCCAGUGCCACUUUUUAUCUAACUUUAUGCCCUCUGGUGCACAAGGCCAACUGUUGGUGGGUCCUGCAAGUAGCCUGUUUUCAACAUACGAGCAGUCUCCUUACCUGCCCAGGGCCCGACUCUGCUAGCAAUCGAAGCUAGAAGGAAGACUUGCAGGCUCUGCUCUUGGGGGCCCAUCGGUUGCACACUCAUUUUUUUUUUUUCCUAGCUCAUAAUGGUUCCUUCUGCCACAAGUAGCCUUUGACAAACACACCCUGGAUGCUCUUGUCCAACCAGCCCUGUGUUGGAUGCCUCUGAUGGUAGCUUAAGUCCAGCCCGCAUUUUGCCACCUUCUCUGCUGGGAUCACGUGGAGAGGUCCUCCUACAGGUUGCUCUACAGUAAGUCCUGGUUUCGUGUCCCCAGAGGAGGAGAUGGCCGCUUUUGUAACUGAAGCUUUUCUAGUGAAGUUUGAAACAAGACCUUUAUUCCUGAGCAAACCUAGGCCGGAAGAUGCCCCGUGGGAGCGACGGGGACCAUGCAGACAAAGCAGGACCAGCGGAGCGUUCCUCUGAACCGCAUGUUCCCCGAAUGGGGAGGGGGCGCACUCAAUAAUGCUACGGGAGGCAAGGGGUUGCCCUGGGCCCGGGGAACCCUGUUUUCCUCAGCCUCAUCUUGCUUCCUGUUCAUUCUCUGCCUGGGAAACUGUGUGGAGCAACUCCCCCACUCACCUCCCGGGCAAAGUCCUUGGGUCUUGGCCCCACAGAUCUUUGGAUGCCCUGGGGGGGGGGGGUUAAGACCUCUUUGCAAAUGCAAAACCCCUUCUCCCCCCACCUCCCACUUGCUGAUGCUGUUUGAUUAAAGCAUAGGGGACACUUUGUUCCUUCUUUCCACGGUGGGUGCUCAGAAACUUUGUGGCGAUGAAAGAACUGACAGUUGCGGCUGGUAGAAGCAAAGAAGCCGG